AUGUCAUGUGCAUCAUAUAUGCCCACCAUUUACACACAUGAAAUGAUUGCCAUGAUUCCUUCUAGUAUGUUGCAUCUUCACACUACUAGCUUGCUUGACUUGAUUACUACGAUUGCUUGCAUGGUUGCAUCACCCAUGUUCCUUUAUUACUCGCUUUCUUGGGUUGAUGACAUAUAUGUUCACGCCUCUCACUUGAUUUGUCUUGAUCAUUGUCUCUUGUCUCCAUUAGUUGCACUUCUCAUAUGCCAUUCUAGUGAGUGCACCCAUGCUAUGUUUAUUGAUCUUGGAGACUUAGACAUAUUACUUGUGAAGCAUGUUUGUUUGGCUGAGUUUAUUAUAGUUGGUUGUACUCACAUCAUAUGCCUCCAUGACAUGUCACCCUACCUUGCCCUUCCUUAUGAUACACAUGAUAAAUUCACUUGUUGGGCAUUUCCCUUCCCGAAUGAUAGGCUUUGCGUUCACGCUAACCUCAUGGGUUUUUCCAAGUGA
rnacentral:rRNA from 1 species